AUGCACAUACUGUGAGCUCGAUGAGUAGGGCGGGACACGUGGUAUCCUGUCUGAAUAUGGGGGGACCAUCCUCCAAGGCUAAAUACUCCUGACUGACCGAUAGUGAACCAGUACCGUGAGGGAAAGGCGAAAAGAACCCCGGCGAGGGGAGUGAAAAAGAACCUGAAACCGUGUACGUACAAGCAGUGGGAGCACGCUUAGGCGUGUGACUGCGUACCUUUUGUAUAAUGGGUCAGCGACUUAUAUUCUGUAGCAAGGUUAACCGAAUAGGGGAGCCGAAGGGAAACCGAGUCUUAACUGGGCGUUAAGUUGCAGGGUAUAGACCCGAAACCCGGUGAUCUAGCCAUGGGCAGGUUGAAGGUUGGGUAACACUAACUGGAGGACCGAACCGACUAAUGUUGAAAAAUUAGCGGAUGACUUGUGGCUGGGGGUGAAAGGCCAAUCAAACCGGGAGAUAGCUGGUUCUCCCCGAAAGCUAUUUAGGUAGCGCCUCGUGAAUUCAUCUCCGGGGGUAGAGCACUGUUUCGGCAAGGGGGUCAUCCCGA
rnacentral:rRNA from 1 species